AUUGCUUCUCGGCCUUUUGGCUAAGAUCAAGUGUGGAAUCUUUUCUUCCUUUUAUGAGGGUCUUGUGAAAAUAGCGCUAGGCACUGAGGUCAUGGAUAUUAAAGCCAAUUACUGUCUGGUAGAUUACAUUGUAAGCAAUCCUACUCUUCCAUUGGCUCUUACCUUCUUUCCACCAACUCUUAGGCAAUGGACACUAA